rnacentral:rRNA from 1 species
CACGUAGGGUGCGAGCGUUGUCCGGAAUUAUUGGGCGUAAAGAGCUCGUAGGCGGUGUGUCGCGUCGGCCGUGAAAACCUGCAGCUUAACUGUGGGCGUGCGGUCGAUACGGGCAUCACUGGAGUUCGGCAGGGGAGACUGGAAUUCCUGGUGUAGCGGUGAAAUGCGCAGAUAUCAGGAGGAACACCGGUGGCGAAGGCGGCAUCCUGGACCGACACUGACGCUGAGGAGCGAAAGCCAGGGGAGCAAACGGG